GGGUUAUAAAACCUAAAGGGGUAACAAAAGUAAAGGUAAGUUUGCUUUAUUAGGGAGGAUAGUUAUUUAAUAGCUCGCACUCCCGGGGCGUUAAUAAUUCAUUGCGAAUUAAGGCGCACCUAGAGCGUACAUGUUGGGACCCGAAAGAUGGUGAACUAUGCCUGGUCAGGAUGAAGCCAGGGGAAACCCUGGUGGAGGUCCGUAGCGAUUCUGACGUGCAAAUCGAUCGUCAGAGCUAGGUAUAGCGGCGAUAGACUAAUCGAACCAUCUAGUAGCUGGUUCCCUCCGAAGUUUCCCUCAGGAUAGCUGGUACCAAUGAUGAUUUGAGUCUCAUCUGGUAAAGCGAAUGAUUAGAGGUCUUGGGGUUGAAACGACCUCACCUAUCUCUUACAAAAAUUAAAAUAAAUUUUCCUUCCCUCCAAAA
rnacentral:rRNA from 1 species